rnacentral:rRNA from 1 species
GGACCAUCAUGUCGGUCGUGCCUCGGUACGUACUGGUAUUGUUGGUUCCUCCCUUCUGAAGAACCAUGAUGUCAUUUAUUUGGUGUUGUGGGGAAUCAGGACUGUUACUUUGAAAAAAUUAGAGUGUUUAAAGCAGGCUCGCGCUCGAAUACAUUAGCAUGGAAUAAUGAAAUAGGACGUUUGAUCUUAUUUUGUUGGUUUCUAGGAUUGACGUA